rnacentral:lncRNA from 1 species
UAUUACAAUAACUAGAUUGCUGAUAAACACAACAAUGUGAUUCUACUUUUAUCCACAUUCAGGUAUUCAAGACGAUUCAGUAGUCUCAACGUGGAUCAGCUCGGAUCCCCGUAGUUCAGCAUGAUAUCGGGGGACACUGUCUUCGUACCUAGAACGCUGGAAGAACCCACACUGGGGCAGAGAAGAGAAAGAACAGUUUAGGUUUAAGUUGCUGCCAAAGUACUACAACUUGUAGAGGCAGUACAUUCUUCCUUUGCACAGACAUACAGUUUAAUACACGCAUGCAGGCACCGAAGGAAGUACAGGACUGACAGAGACGGACUUCAGUCCUGACAAACUACUAUGUACAAAGACAGCAAGACUUGCCUUAAUGACGUAGAAAAAGCAACUCUCUUGCUGAUAAAGAGUUGUUACAGAACCAGAAUCGUCUCUCUUAGCCUUCUCCUUGAUUUAUUGAUUAGGCAGAAGACCAAAAGAGUGAACUAGACACAGACAUUCCGCAGUGUCUUUGCAUACCUGCUCACCCCUGCACGCAGCAAGUGCCCACCCUGGCUGGCUGUGCGCACAGAUCACCCCUGGGCUGCUGGGUUUAGGCUUUGAUCCCUGCCUCUGUGGGGUUUUAUGCCGUACAACUGACUGCAAGGACUGCACUGAAGAACAACGUGCACAGCCAGCCUCAGGCCGCUUCCUCAAAAUAUGAUCGUGAAACCUCAAGGCCUAAAGAAGCUGCAGUCUGCAGUCAGACUGCAUGAUCUGAUCAGGAAGUCAGGAUUUUGGGACAAGAAAAGCCAAUUUUAAAACCAGCAACUUUUCCAAGUGUUCAUAUGCAUGAAGAGAGAAGCUGUUCAUUUGAGUAAAAGCAGUUGUUGGCAUU